UACGUAGGGGGGCUAGCGUUGUCCGGAAUCAUUGGGCGUAAAGAGCGUGUAGGCGGCCCGGUAAAUCCGCUGUAAAAGUCAAAGGCUCAACCUUUGAAUGUCAGUGGAUACUGCCGGGCUAGAGUCCGGAAGAGGCGAGUGGAACUCCUGGUGUAGCGGUGGAAUGCGCAGAUAUCAGGAAGAACACCAACGGCGAAGGCAGCUCGCUGGGACGGUACUGACGCUGAGACGCGAAAGCGUGGGGAGCGAACAGG
rnacentral:rRNA from 1 species